rnacentral:lncRNA from 1 species
AACCUAAUUAGUUGGGUUAGGUUGGUCAAGUACAUCUGAUCAAAAAUUGAUAUUUCUAAUUUGCAAAUAGCUCAAUGCUUCCCAUAUUAAUCAUAAAAAUUUUAAAAUUCAAAAACACAAAUAAACCUCAAAGUUGUGACUAGGGAUAGCAAUGGAUCGAGUAUGGAUCAGAUUGGCUAACAUCCAUAUCCAUUCUACAAUUAAAAAUUCUAUAUCAAUACUUAUUUCAUAUCCAUCUCGGGUCGAGUC